GUACACGCUGUGACUAGCAUAUCAAUAAGCGGAGGAAAAGAAACUAACAAGGAUUCCCCUAGUAACGGCGAGUGAAGCGGGAAGAGCUCAAAUUUGAAAUCUUAAAGGGUUUCCCUUUACGAACUGUAGUUUAAAGAAGUGUUUUCUGUUGAGGUUUUGGUAAAAGUUCUUUGGAAUAGGACAUCAUAGAGGGUGAGAAUCCCGUAUUUGACCUUUACUUUCAACUUUGUGAUACACUUUCAAAGAGUCGGAUUGUUUGGGAAUGCAGUCCAAAAUGGGUGGUAAAUUUCAUCUAAAGCUAAAUAUUGGCGAGAGACCGAUAGCGAACAAGUACCGUGAGGGAAAGAUGAAAAGAACUUUGAAAAGAGAGUUAAACAGUACGUGAAAUUGUCAAAAGGGAAGCGUUUGACACCAGUGUUGUUUUUCUGAAAAUCAAUUAAAGAACUGUUUAUGCUAAGCUGUUUAGACUUUAUCAGCUAAUCUGUUUAGUUUUGAGCUUUUCUUUAAUGCACUUUUCAGUUAACAAGUCAACAUCAAUUUCUUUUGCUGUAAAAAAGCUUGAGGAAGGUGGCUUGAGAUUCGUCUUAAGUGUUUAUAGCCUCUUGCCUAUGCAGUCGGAGAGAUUGAGGUCUGCAGCGUAGAUCCUUCGGGGCUAAAUGCAUUUGUGCUAAGUUAUAGCAUUUUAUAGACAACUUGUUGACUAUGAUUUGUCUUGUAGCUUACUCGCUUAUGUUAUUUUACCUACGCUUAGGAUGUUGACGAGACUGUCGAUCUC
rnacentral:rRNA from 1 species